UAUACCCUAUGGGGAGGAUAUUCCCUGU
rnacentral:piRNA from 1 species